UACGUAGGGUGCAAGCGUUAAUCGGAAUUACUGGGCGUAAAGCGCACGUAGGCGGUUCGUUAAGUCGGAUGUGAAAGCCCUUGGCUUAACCGAGGAAGUGCAUCCGAAACUGGCGAGCUAGAGUACUAAAGAGGAUCGCGGAAUUCCCGGUGUAGAGGUGAAAUUCGUAGAUAUCGGGAGGAACACCCGGUGGCGAAGGCGGCGAUCUGGGUAGAUACUGACGCUGAGGUGCGAAAACGUG
rnacentral:rRNA from 1 species